GGUCAAGGGUGACUUCAGAGAAGUAAAAAAACAAGCUGUGAAGGUAGGGCUGUAUUCCAGACAGUGACAGUCUGAUCUAGGACGGUGCAGCUAGGAGACCAUAUGGAUUAUGGAACAAAGCCUACUGAUAGGGUGGCUUAAAGGGAAAUGGCCAGAAAAUUUGCAGAAGAGAAUUGAGUUCAAAUCCAAAUUUAUUGCUGGAUGAGGAAUUUGGGGUUUAUUCUUAUCUUGAGUUUCUUACAUAAGUAGAAACAUGUGUUUUGUUUUGUUUUCCUCUCCCCUCAGGGAGAGAAUGGAGCAGUUGGGGCUCUUUUGGAAAGAUGUUGUAGGUAUGACAGUGGUCUAGGAAGUCUGACUUAGAAAAAAACAAACUACUAUAAAGUUAUAAAGGAAUAUUGUCACUUGAAGAAAUAUCUUAGCCAUUGGCACAACCUUUUGAAGCUUCUUCUGGCUGGAUUGAAUGGAGCGAGGUUUCACAUUAAAGGCUCCUUCCUCCUGUCAUUGCCUAGGAAGUAUCCUGUGCGCCUGUGUGGGGUGGACUGAAGCCCAGUGGACAGCAAUGGAGUCAAGGAAUCUCUGCACAUCUAAGAGGAACAGGAGAGGCUGUAGGAUGAUGUAAGAGCUCAGGUCAACGUGGACACUUAUCCUACAUUCCCUAGGGACAUAGAACCACAGGGGCCCAAGGGUUCUUAAAAAAAGAAGAAAAAAAGAAAGAAAUCAUUGAGUGUUAGAAGAGCUAGGGUUUCAUGAAUGAGACAAAUUUCAUGAUAAAGAGACAAAUGAGGGCUUCCUUCUUGGUGUGAUGUCAAGAAGUCUAGAUUUGGCUC
rnacentral:lncRNA from 1 species